UUUUAAAUGCCUGUCCUGCAGCUAAGGCUCCCGCAUGGCUUUGCUAGCAAAGCACUGCAGCCAUUUUAUAGAGGCGCCAGCUAGUGUGUUUUCAUGAAGGGAGGCUGAUGCACCCGGAGGCUGUAACGCACCCUGCAGAGCGGACGGGGRGGAACCGCAGCUGCUGCAGCCUGAGGGAUGUCGGAGCUGACAGACAACGUUGUGAUAAGAAAUGGAAGUCUAUAAGUGAAGAUUGUCUUGGUUUGGUUUGAUAAAGUUUCAACUUCAAAACAAGAAAUAUGUGUAGGGCUUUUUUUAAACUGUAAUUAGUGUGUUUUUGUUGUUUCUCUCUGAAUAUUAAGUUUUUUGAGCUCUCCCCCCAGCUGGGAUAUACAAGCUUUAUUUUUAAUUUUUCAAGAAAAAAGAAUAUUCCUGUGUUUACAAUCUCUGCACUCCACAAUUUGGUGUUUGGAGUGCCUCACUGGCUAACAGCGAAGGAUACAAGGCCCAGUUUUGGGGAAAGAAAAGGGUCUUGGCGUGCAGUGUUGUACGGGGCAGAGGGGAGAUGAAGAGAUGAACAUGAUCUUCAUCUAGGGAGGGGAAAAUACAGAAAAUGCAGAUACACUGUGAAGAAAGGUGUUUUGCCCCGAGCCUUUGGCUUCUCGGAGAACAUCUGCCAUAAAGCAAUCCCUUAGUGAACUUGUUGGGUUUUGCCUGAGCUUAAUUCUUUGCAGAAAUAUUUGCUACGGGGGCUGUUCUCCUUUGCUCUCUGUCACGUGUGGAAGAGAGGAGAAGCUGUGUGGGCCUGUUUGCAGUGAAAACCCUUUGAGGGCCAGAUUGCUGCUGUCAGCGAGUGCAUAUUUACCCAGGACUGUGAAUACUUGUCCGGGGGAAUUGAGACUUGCCAUGUAAUUGAGCAGAUGUUUAAUAUCAGUGUGGAUUUAAUUAUUUUAAAGAGAUUCUGUGAGCUGAUGACCCAGAAUUCUUCCUGCGAAGAAGUUGAAGCGAUGGUAGAGCCGUGUAGAGAGUUGAACAAGACAUGUUGGCUUAGACAGCUUGCUUGCAAAUGUCAACAUGAAUGGCUCAACCAAAUUUAGCCCAAUGUUGCUGAACUUGCUGGAUUUUUGUAUAAUGCAAACAAAAGAGCAAACCCUGCCAAAAUCAGGCGAUUAUGACCGUAUAUACAACUGUGCAGGCUGUCAGCAGAGGGCAUCCCUCUUGCUGGGAUCUUUGGAGUCAAAGGCCAAAGCCCCCCCCUUCCUGGUAAAUCCAAAUAAGUGGCAGAUCCAGAGGUUCUGUCACUUGGCUCCACUCUUGGAUUUCCUAGCUAUUCCAGUAGRAAGAUAUGUAGUCUUUGUAGUAAAACACUUUAGUGUGUAAAGAUGGUCUUCUAAGUCUGGCACCAACUACUAUCUAUUUAUGAGAAGAUUUUUGUAUUUUCUAUGAGUUGUACCAUUUAUAAAACGUAAAGCUUAAGUUUAAAGUCGAAUUUAUUCAUGUUGAUGUGAUUUUAUGUAAAACUUUAAGAAGUGAAAAAUAACUGCUAGGGUACCAAGAGCUGCCCGCCAUAGUAAUUGCUCUGUUAUAUCCCUGUAUGAUAUCAGUUUUACUGUGUAUUUUGUGGUUUUAAAAUUAUUUUUCAGUAAACCAAAAUAAAUGAGACUUGUGGCUUGUCAGAAGAAAUAGUCUGGAACUGUGAGACUCUGCYGAGAGAGAGGGCUGUGGUCUUAAGAAUGAUGAAUAAAUGUGAAGACAUCUCCAAUCAACUGACCAAGCAAGUAACCAAGAUCACUGAGGAUGGAGGAUGUGGAUGGAACAUCACCAGUGGCAGUGGCGUCGCUGUUUCACUGGAUUGUGCGUAUAGACGUUUCUGUGCCUUAUUUGACAAUACUUGAGUCUGUGCUUGUUUUGGUCCCUUUGU